ensembl:lncRNA
UGUACGACGGCGAUACGAGCCGGCGUUAAAUAACUGAAAACCGUCUCUGCCAACGCCACGGCGCCACCCUCCAUCCUGUCGGCGCCGGCUGUCAUCCUCUUACUUCUGGCUCUUUUCUUUCCUCCUCGUCGGCGGCGAUGAUGCUGGCGGGUAAAACACGGAGGAAACGGGGAGUACGUGUUGUGCAUAAACUACACGUGCUCGCUUAGUGGAUCGUGCUCCUCCCACAGAACAUGAACGCCCUCCACCAGAGAACCUGAUGUCUCUGCCAGUGGAUUCUGAUCACCUAGUUAAAAGCAUCACGUCAUAUUCUAAGUCUGAAUCGGGUGUUUGAUGCUGGCGGGCCAUGGCGUUGUCCCAUGGCGGGACGAACUGGUUACUAUGGAAACUACCUAUAUGCGUAAGGUUAAGACUGAUUAAUUGCUGUGAGCUGAUUUUUUUUUUUCCAGACUAUCAGUAAUCUCAUGUAUUUAGUUUCCCAUUUUAGCAAAGCGAUCUGAGCCAACCUGAGAUCUCUUCUAGAGGCUCUUAUUCUGAAAUGCCCUUCCACAGGAAGUAAAGCGGAUGUUGUUUCAGAACACCGAGCCGCCGCCUUGAUGUGGUUUUAAUAUCCCCAGACCCCACGGGAUCCGUUUUCAACGGCCCUUUCUUCGGUUUAAUGCUGAUUUUUAAAGUUUGACGCCGUGAACUAUUGAUGAAGCAGUUUCAGGGUCUUUUGUCAAAACGACGGCGCCAUCAAUAAAUCAUAGCAUGAAGCCUCCGAGCGAGCCUGUGAUGUCUCAUGAAUAAAACCUCUAUGCAAACAGGCAGAAGCCAGUCAGGAGGGUGUGUGUGUGUGUGUGUGUGUGUCAGGAUUUCAGCCCCACCAGAUGGUGCCUCCAGGUGGAGCAGCUUGACAUCACGGCUGUAUGGCAGUUUAGAGUCUGUUUCUGUUGGGACACACAGACAUCACUUGCCUCCACAGUUUGUGGGGGUGUUGUGUGUGUGUGUGUGUGUGUGUGUGUGUGUGUGUGGUGUUGCCACGUUAGUGCUGCUUCUCUCUCUGCUUGUAACACGCAACCGAGGUGCUGAUUAAAUAUUCCUGGUGUCACCGCACUUCUCCGUCACCAGGUGAAGGGAAGACAUUCGACCCCCCCCCCCCCCCCCAAAAGCCCGGCGGCCAUUAGCCCGGUCUGGAACGGCCCCGAAUGCACAGAACGGGUCUCCAUGGCAACGUAUACGCCACUGCUUCGCGUGGCGCCAAGUCGCGCUGACCAGACGGAUCCUUUGCGUGAGCCGCUGUUCAGGUGGAGGGGGAGAGCGUAUGAACAGGCCUGUUUAAAAAUGAUGAAUAAAUAUUCAUGUGUCUCUCUGCCCCCUCCCCCCCACAG